rnacentral:rRNA from 1 species
AUUGAACGCUGGCGGCAGGCCUAACACAUGCAAGUCGAGCGAGCGGCGGACGGGUGAGUAAUGCCUGGGAAUUGCCCAGUCGAGGGGGAUAACAGUUGGAAAGGACUGCUAAUACCGCAUACGAUUGGAAUGCGACGGGUGGGUUAGCUAGUUGGUGAGGUAAGGGCUAACCAAGGCGACGAUCCCUAGCUGGGCUGAGAGGAGGAUCGGCCACACGGGAACGGAGACAUGGUCCAGACUCCUACGGGAGGCAGCAGUGGGGAAUAUUGCACAAUGGGGGAAACCCUGAUGCAGCCAUGUCGCGUGUGUGAAGAAGUCCUUCGGGUUGUAAAGCACUUUCAGCGAGGAGGCGUUACUCGCAGAAGAAGCACCGGCUAACUACGUGCCAGCAGCCGCGGUAAUUC